AUUGAACGCUGGCGGCAGGCUUAACACAUGCAAGUCGAGCGAGCGGCGGACGGGUGAGUAAUGUCUGGGAAACUGCCUGAUGGAGGGGGAUAACUACUGGAAACGGUAGCUAAUACCGCAUACCAUCAGAUGUGCCCAGAUGGGAUUAGCUAGUAGGUGGGGUAAUGGCUCACCUAGGCGACGAUCCCUAGCUGGUCUGAGAGGAUGACGAGCCACACUGGAACUGAGACACGGUCCAGACUCCUACGGGAGGCAGCAGGGGGGAAUUGUGGACAAUGGGCUCAAGCCGGAGGCAGCCAUGCCUGGGGUGUGAAGAAGGCCUUCGGUUUUUAAAGCACUUUCAGCGAGGAGGCGUUACUCGCAGAAGAAGCACCGGCUAACUCCGUGCCAGCAGACGCGGUAAUUC
rnacentral:rRNA from 1 species